AGGCCCAUUCAUCAAAAAUCAUUGCAGUUUUAUAGGGAAGUCUAGAGAUACCCUAUUUGAAGAAGGGCGGGAUUCAAAUCAGGGAAGGGCUCUUUUCUUCUAUUGAUUUGAUAGAAAUCACUUUUUCGUUUCCUAUCUCUAUGAUUUUUGAUGAAUGAGCCUGUGGUAAUUCUU